rnacentral:rRNA from 1 species
UGGGGAAUCUUGCGCAAUGGGCGAAAGCCUGACGCAGCGACGCCGCGUGGGUGACGAAGGCCUUCGGGUUGUAAAGCCCUGUGGGGCGGGACGAACUCGUGCCGGGUGAACAAUCCGGUGCGUUGACGGUACCGCCUUAGCAAGCACCGGCUAACUCUGUGCCAGCAGCCGCGGUAAGACAGAGGGUGCAAACGUUGCUCGGAAUUACUGGGCGUAAAGCGCGUGUAGGCGGUCUCGCGAGUCGGGUGUGAAAGCCCGGGGCUCAACCCCGGACGUGCAUUCGAUACUACGAGGCUUGAGUACUGUAGAGGAUGGCGGAAUUCCCGGUGUAGAGGUGAAAUUCGUAGAUAUCGGGAGGAACACCAGUGGCGAAGGCGGCCAUCUGGACAGUGACUGACGCUGAGACGCGAAAGCGUGGGUAGCAAACAGGAUUAGAUACCCCCGUAGUCC